rnacentral:rRNA from 1 species
GACGAACCGUCCUAACGUUGUUCGGAAUCACUGGGCUUAAAGGGCGCGUAGGCGGGCCAUCAAGUCGGGGGUGAAAUACUUCGGCUUAACCGGAGAACAGCUUUCGAUACUGGUGGCCUAGAGGGAGGUAGGGGUCUGUGGAACUUCCGGUGGAGCGGUGAAAUGCGUUGAUAUCGGAAGGAACGCCGGUGGCGAAAGCGACGGACUGGACCUCUUCUGACGCUGAGGCGCGAAAGCUAGGGGAGCAAACGGG